AGGAAAUGAAUACAAAACCUACUCCCUUCCCUUGGACAUCUAAUUUCAAGCUUUCCAGAGGAUACCAACCAAAACCCUCACUUCAGACAUUUCAAGCUCAUUCCCAGCUGACACAUCUAUCCGUAUUCUUCAGAACAUCAGGACCCCAGGUGAGUUCCAGGAGAGGAAUUUCGCGGCUUUUCCCCGUUUUCCGGCGCCGGCCCCAGCCCUCUAGCGGUGCGGGCGAGCGGAGCCCAGUCCCGGGAGCUGUCCCCAAGCACCGGAGCAGCGCAUGGAGCGCGGCAGGCACACAAGGUGAACAGCUCCGGACUCGACUGCAGGCUUCCUGCGGCUACAGAAAUGAUUUCCAGAGCAGCCUUCUCCUCCAGCGCUUGGGGCGUCCUCAUCUGGCGGCCACAGCUCAUCCUCUGCCCCUCUCUCCCGGCUCAUCCUCCGCCCCUCUCUCCGGGCUCAGCGCUUCCCACCAACUCAAACUUGCGCUGAGCUGCAGGGCUCUUCCCCUCCGAAUGCCGCUCAGCUGCCAAGGGUGGGAGCUGCCGCUCCAGAGCUCCCUGCUCCUCACUGAGCCAUGGCUUUCGCAAGACCUGCAGCCUCUGAGUGACCCACACGGGAUGCUGGAGCCUCCUUGGCAAGCUGGGAAGGAAAAGGGAAAAAGAGGGGAUUCAUAACCUGAAGUGGGCCAUUUGAGUUCUCCCAACCCUCUACGAUUUCUGGAGGAAUUCUGUAAAUUUUGGUAAAUUUGGUAAAAUUUGGUAAAAUUUGGUAAAAUUCCAACUUAUUUCCACUGGAUAUAUUUAUUUUACCCUAAUUAGCAACACUUGUAACCUUCUCCUAUCAUCUUAUUGUAACCAUUUCAAGGCAUGACUUUUUCUCUAAAUAUGUGCACUGAAGGAGUGGUGCAAAAAAAUGUGAGAACAUCUAUUUACAUAAACAUGGAUGGCAACAUUGUUCUGUGAUGAUCUGAAAGCCCUGCUGCAAGUCAGGGAGUCUCGAGCAGAAGGACAGCCAUGUGAUUUCGAG
rnacentral:lncRNA from 1 species